rnacentral:rRNA from 1 species
AAUGCAUAUACGGCCCGUACCAAAACCGACACAGGUGGGCGCGCAGAGGAUGCGAAGGUGAGCGAGAGAACUGUUGCCAAGGAACUCGGCAAAAUGGCCCCGUACGUUCGCAAGAAGGGGCGCUCGAAAGAGCCGCAGUGAAAAGGCCCAAGCGACUGUUUAACUAAAACACAGCUCCCUGCGAAGCCGCAAGGCGAAGUAUAGGGGGUGACACCUGCCCGGUGCUGGAAGGUUAAGGCAAGCUGUGAACCGCGAGGUGAAGCAGUGACCCGAAGCCCCAGUGAACGGCGGCCGUAACUAUAACGGUCCUAAGGUAGCGAAAUUCCUUGUCAGGUAAGUUCUGACCCGCACGAAAGGUGUAACGAUUUGGGCGCUGUCUCGGCAGCAGACUCGGUGAAAUCUUAGUACCUGUGAAAAUGCAGGUUACCCGCAACUAGACGGAAAGACCCCAUGGAGCUUUACUGCAGCCUGGUAUUGGGUCCUGGACAGCCAUGUACAGGAUAGGUGGGAGACUUAGAAGCGAGUACGCAAGUAUUGGUGGAGUCGCCGGUGGGAUACCACUCCUGGAUGUAUGGGGCCCUAACCCGUGUGCCGAGAGGGACAGGGGAGAGUGCCAGGCGGGCAGUUUGACUGGGGCGGUCGCCUCCCAAAGAGUAACGGAGGCGCCCAAAGGUACGCUCAGGUUGGAUGGGAACCAACUGAAGAGUGCAAAUGCAGAAGCGUGCCUGACUGCGACAGAGACAACUGGAGCAGGGACGAAAGUCGGGAUUAGUGAUCCGGCGGUGCCGAAUGGAAGGGCCGUCGCUCAACGGAUAAAAGCUACCCUGGGGAUAACAGGCUGAUCUCGCCCAAGAGUUCACAUCGACGGCGAGGUUUGGCACCUCGAUGUCGGCUCAUCGCAUCCUGGAGCUGGAUUCGGUUCCAAGGGUUGGGCUGUCCGCCCAUUAAAGCGGUACGCGAGCUGGGUUCAGAACGUCGUGAGACAGUUCGGUCCCUAUCUGUUGUGGGCGUCGGAGAUCUGAGGGAAGCUGUCCUCAGUACGAGAGGACCGGGAUGGACCUGCCGCUGGUGCACCAGUUAUCAUGCCAAUGGUA